rnacentral:rRNA from 1 species
GAUGAACGCUGGCGGCGUGCCUAAUACAUGCAAGUCGAGCGAACAGACGAGGAGCUUGCUCCUCUGACGUUAGCGGCGGACGGGUGAGUAACACGUGGAGAACCUACCUAUAAGACUGGGAUAACUUCGGGAAACCGGAGCUAAUACCGGAUAAUAUAUUGAACCGCAUGGUUCAAUAGUGAAAGACGGUUUUGCUGUCACUUAUAGAUGGAUCCGCGCCGCAUUAGCUAGUUGGUAAGGUAACGGCUUACCAAGGCAACGAUGCGUAGCCGACCUGAGAGGGGGACCGGCCACACUGGAACUGAGACACGGUCCAGACUCCUACGGGAGGCAGAAGUAGGGAAUCUUCCGCAAUGGGCGAAAGCCUGACGGAGCAACGCCGCGUGAGUGAUGAAGGUCUUCGGAUCGUAAAACUCUGUUAUUAGGGAAGACCAAAUGUGUAAGUAACUAUGCACGUCUUGACGGUACCUAAUCAGAAAGCCACGGCUAACUACGUG